AAGGAAGUCACCUGGGAUCCUGAUAAAAUGCAGAUUUUUAUUUAGUAGUUUGGGGUGGGGUCUGAGAGUCUGUAUUUCUAAUGAGCUCUUAGGUAUUGCAGAU
rnacentral:miRNA from 1 species